UUGUUUCUUCUCCUCUUAGUUGAGCUAGGUGGCUAGCUUGCAGACGAUCUUUUCAUUCGCCGAACAAGCUUCAACAUCCUGGCCCUUCUCCAUUGGAAGGAUUUGCGUAGUGGUGUGAUUUUUUUUCUCAGUCGGUUUCGGCGUUGGAAGAGCCCCACUGUCAGAACAGACGGGAGCUUUUUGCCCCGCCUCCUUUGUUCUGAUUGGCUAUGAUGGUGUACGCCUACACAGAACUCUGCGCUCCACCGGACAAAGAAAGUGCCAAUCUUGAUAGAACGACCUGUUGAUUGGAUGACGUCUUCUGCGGGAGGUUCAGGCGAAUCUACCUUUUUUUUCCUUUCUUUUUUAACCUUACGAGAGUACACCGGCCUUGCGCAGAUAGGCGGGUAGUCGGAGGAGACGCAGUACGUCAGUUCAACCUAAAUCAACUUUGGAGUAAUGAGACAUAUACCGGAACUCAACCUCACGUCCAUCUAAUGGGAUGGAAAGGACGGAUACAGGAAGAAGUGAUUGCUUUCAUGUUUACAUAACUGCUUGACGAGAGAAGAUGAGCAGCAGCUGCGUGGUCAGUGGUGAGAAGACGGGCCAAGAUGGAGACUAAAGACAACGAUGUGUUGCCACAUGAAACACCAAUAAUCUUCAGUUUGGGAAUUCUUAGUCUAAAAAAGCCUGACCACAAUAUUUUCUUUAGCGCAUGCUGCUCACAGUAGCUUAUACAACUCUUAAGCUUUUGCUGUGAUAAUUCUUUUCUGACAGUCGCAUAAAAGAUGUGUGGGUGUGCAUAAAUGACUGAUAUAUCUUUAAA